rnacentral:rRNA from 1 species
AUUGAACGCUGGCGGCAGGCCUAACACAUGCAAGUCGAGCGGAUGAAGGGAGCUUGCUCCUGGAUUCAGCGGCGGACGGGUGAGUAAUGCCUAGGAAUCUGCCUGGUAGUGGGGGAUAACGUCCGGAAACGGGCGCUAAUACUGCAUACGUCCUGAGGGAGAAAGUGGGGGAUCUUCGGACCUCACGCUAUCAGAUGAGCCUAGGUCGGAUUAGCUAGUUGGUGGGGUAAAGGCCUACCAAGGCGACGAUCCGUAACUGGUCUGAGAGGAUGAUCAGUCACACUGGAACUGAGACACGGUCCAGACUCCUACGGGAGGCAGCAGUGGGGAAUAUUGGACAAUGGGCGAAAGCCUGAUCCAGCCAUGCCGCGUGUGUGAAGAAGGUCUUCGGAUUGUAAAGCACUUUAAGUUGGGAGGAAGGGCAGUAAGUUAAUACCUUGCUGUUUUGACGUUACCAACAGAAUAAGCACCGGCUAACUUCGU